UACAGAGGUCUCAAGCGUUGUUCGGAUUCAUUGGGCGUAAAGGGUGCGUAGGUGGCGCGGUAAGUCGGGUGUGAAAUCUCGGAGCUUAACUCCGAAAUUGCAUUCGAUACUGCCGUGCUCGAGGACUGGAGAGGAGACUGGAAUUCAUGGUGUAGCAGUGAAAUGCGUAGAGAUCAUGAGGAACACCUGUGGUGUAGACAGCUUACUGGACCAUUUCUGACGCUGAGACACGAAAGCGUGGGUAGCAAACAGG
rnacentral:rRNA from 1 species